CUGAGAAAGUCGAUUAAAAAUAACUUUUCUGUCUGUGAAACUAAUUAUAAAUGUGAUGGAAAGUAAGUUACAAAGCGCGACAACGUUUUUCAACGCUUAAAUUUAAGAAAACUAGUAAAAGCGAAACGAAACAAAAUCCAAUCAAACGGAAAACGAAAAUCAUGAAAUAAUAUAUAUCUUAAACCGUCCUGCCGAAACGUUUCUCGAUAUAAAAAAAAACAAAUUUUGCCGUUGAUGAAAAAUUAUUUUUAACUUUCUUUUUUUUUCCUUUUUUCUUUUUUUUUUUUUUUUUUGAAUAUAUAAAAAACUAAUUUCUUUUACGAAGAUUAGGAUAUACAUAACAAAUCUCGCGUAAGAUAGUAUCGCCUGUUCUUUUCUUCUUCUUUUUUUUUUUUUUUUUUUACAUUUUUCUUCUUUCGUAUUUAUGUACGAAUUAAGCGGCGGACAAUUUAUAAAAAUUCGUAGAACGUACGUACUCCGCUCCCAAUCUCCACCCCUCGUCCUUUUUCCUCAUGAGGUAGAUACAAUUUUUAUAAAAUGAUCACUUGUAUAAAACGCGGUGGCGGGAAAUACAAAGUCACUGUUUAAAAUUGUCAAUUUCAUGCGUGCGACCGAUCGCACGCAUCUCUACCCGUCUCUGAUGCGUCAUCGAUAAAUCGACUUCGCCAACGAGCUCAUCAAUUAAAUAUCUUAUAUAUAAUAAUAUUUCAUUAUAUAUAAUAAUAAUAAUAAUAUUAUUAAUAAUAAUAUUAAUAAUAAUAAUAAUAAUAAUAUUAAUCGUUUAUGGAAUAUGAUCAAUCGAAAAAUGUCGUCAAUCCGAAUUUACAAAAAUCAUAUACGUAUCAUAUGUAUGCGUAUAUAUAUAUAUACACACGGACUUAUAUGUGUGUGUGUGUGUAUAUAUAUAUAUAAAUUCUGUUUCAUUUUCUUCUUUGCUACGUGUGAAUUUUGUUUUUAAUUAUCAUUCGUUCUUUUUCGAUUUCGUUUAUUCACCGAACAAAAAGUAUCAUACCCACACGUGGUAAUACAUAAUAAUACAUAAUAUACUUUUACUUGAGAGUGAGAGACCAAUAAUAAUAAUAAUUAUUAUUAUUAUAAUAAUUAUAAAAAAAUAAAGUAAAUAACAACAGUAACAAUAAUAAUAACAUUAAUAAUAAUAUAAAUAAUAACGAUAAUACUAACAAUAAUAAUAAUAAUAAUAACUUGAGUAAUAUCAAUAAUAAUAAUAUUAAUGAUAAUGAUAAUAAAAAGAAAGCAUAUAUAUAUAUAAUAAAAAAUAAUCUAAUAAAAAUAUUAAGCUUACAUUCGAUAUUCUUAUCGUAUUACGGCGAGUCCAUUUAUUAUAAACGCGUACGACUGAUCUUAACGCGUGAAGAUGUCGAAUCAUUCGAUUGACGAAGCGACGAAAGAAUAAUAAAAGGAGAAGACAAACGAAAGAAAGAAAGAAAGAAAGAACGAACGAACGAAUGAAUGAAUAAAGAAAGAAAAACUAAAUAAAUAAAUAAAUAAAUAACUGACCAAAAAGAAGUGAAAGACAGAAAGAGAAGGAAGGAAAGAAUUUCGUAAAAGUUCACGCGAGCGAGUGACGUGUUGAUUGAUUAUUUAAUUAAUUAUGAAUUAAUUAUACGAUCAAUGAAUGAAUGAAUGAAUCAAUCAAUGAAUCAAUUAAUAAUUGUUAUUAUUGUUACGGCGAGUAAUGGUUAUAGACAUAAAUAAAUGGGUAUGCGUAAAAAAACAUCGUGGGGUGGGAGAUGACAAGAAAAAAUAAUAAAAUGGCGAAAAAGAGUAUAGAAAUAAUAAUAAUAAUAAAAAGAAACAAAAAAAAAAAGAACAGAAAGAAAAAGAAAGAAAAACAAAUAAAAAAUUAAAAGAAAGAAAGAUAGAAGGAAAGAAAAGAAGAAGAAACGAGAAAGGGACGAGACAAGAAGAAAUUCUGUAGCGCGGAAGUCAAUGGCCGGGAUUAGCAUACCAAAACGAUCUCAUGUCGAUUUAAUCAAGCGCAAUUUUCGAAUAUUAAUAUGUACUACGUACGUUUGGCCGUAGCUGUGUUAACGCUUUGACGCUCGAGCGACGAACGAAAGACCGACCCGUCCCCGUCCCCGCCCAUUUCUUUUUUUCCGCUCGAUAACUUCAUCGCGUUAUCGCUUUUUAUUCUUUCACGAACGAUGAAUUUGACGCGGCGAAGAAAACGAGAUUAUUUGAGGCUUCUUAACUCGCUCGAGCCGUCAAUGCUACCCCAGCCUAAUCGUACAAUGCAAAGACAUUAUUAUUAUUAUUAUUAUUAUUAUUAUUAUUAUUAUUAUUAUUAUUAUUAUUAUUAUUGUCAUUGUCAUUAUUAUUAUCAUCUCAUUUUAUUAUUAUAUUAAUAAUUAUAAUUAUUAUAUUAUUAUAUUAUUAUUAUUAUUUGAUGAUUAUAUAUAUAUUGAUUAUUAUUAUUAUUAUAUUAUUAUUAUUAUUAUUAUUAUUAUUAUUAUUAUUAUUAUAUUGAUAUCAUUAUUAUUAUUGUUUUCAAUAUUAUCGCCACACUAUUACAUCAUACGACCGGUUAUAUCAACGCCAUUGUCAUCAUUUUUAACGCUAUAAUAUUAUAUAUAUAUAUAUAUAUAUAUAUAUAUAUAUAUAUAUGUGUGUGUGUGUGUAUUAUCAAAGCGUCAAUGAGAUACGGAAGCCGAUCGUAAUUCGUUCGUGCGAAUUAUAAACGACGUUAUAUACUUGUUAGCAAAUUCAUGAGAAAGAAAUAUCGUGGCAAAAGCACAUACAUAUAUACACACAUAUACAUACAUAAACACACAAAAUGGAUUAAGAGAGUAUUGAGAAAGAGAGAGAGAGAGAGAGAGAGAGAGAGAGAGAGAGAGAGAGAGAGAGAGAGAGAGAGAGAGAGAGAGAGAGAGAGAGAGAGAGGGAGAGAGAGAGAGAGGGAGAGAGAG